GAUUCUAAACAAUGAAAAAACCCUCCCUAUCGGUGGGACAAGAGUGAAAUUUAUCUGAGAUAUCAUUCCUAAUUAUUAAAAGCAGUACUGAAGAUUAAUGAGGAAAACGAAAGUGAAAAGAUAGCACUGCUGCAAGGGCUCUCAAAUGUUGAGCAAGCCAGUGUCACCAGAAAGCUGUCCAGAAGUUCCUGAGGAAUGGCAAAGUACCGGAAACAAACGUCAAAGCCAUAGAAAAGAC